UUGUCAUUAGCUCAGUGUAUUAGAGCAAAUGGCUCAUAAUCAUUCGUUUGAUGGUUCGAAUUUAUCAUAGUAGU
rnacentral:tRNA from 5 species